rnacentral:rRNA from 1 species
UACGUAGGGGGCAAGCGUUGUCCGGAUUUACUGGGCGUAAAGAGCGCGCAGGCGGUCGUUCAAGUCGAGUGUGAAAGCCCCCGGCUCAACUGGGGAGGGUCACGCGAUACUGUUCGACUUGAAGGCAGGAGAGGGAAGUGGAAUUCCCGGUGUAGUGGUGAAAUGCGUAGAUAUCGGGAGGAACACCAGUGGCGAAGGCGACUUCCUGGCCUGUUCUUGACGCUGAGGCGCGAAAGCUAGGGUAGCAAACGGGG